CCUACGGGCGGCAGCAGUGAGGAAUAUUGGUCAAUGGGCGGAAGCCUGAACCAGCCAAGUAGCGUGCAGGAUGACGGCCCUACGGGUUGUAAACUGCUUUUAUACGGGAAUAACGCGCCUUACGUGUAGGGCUUUGCAUGUACCGUAUGAAUAAGGACCGGCUAAUUCCGUGCCAGCAGCCGCGGUAAUACGGAAGGUCCGGGCGUUAGCCGGGUUUAUUGGGUCUAAGGGGAGCGUAGGCGGCAUGUCAAGCGUGCUGUGAAAUGUCCGGGCUCAACCCGGGCAUUGCAGCGCGAACUGGCGAGCUUGAGUGCAGGGAAGGCAGGCGGAAUUCGUAGUGUAGCGGUGAAAUGCGUAGAUAUGAGGAGGAACCCC
rnacentral:rRNA from 1 species